UACGUAGGGAGCGAGCGUUAUCCGGAUUUAUUGGGUGUAAAGGGUGCGUAGGCGGUUUAAUAAGUCUGUGGUCUAAUCCCGAAGCUUAACUUCGGUCCGCCACAGAAACUGUCAGACUUGAGUAUGGUAGAGGCAAGUGGAAUUUCUAGUGUAGCGGUUAAAUGCGUAGAUAUUAGAAGGAACACCAGUGGCGAAGGCGACUUGCUGGGCCAUUACUGACGCUGAGGCACGAAAGCGUGGGGAGCAAAUAGG
rnacentral:rRNA from 1 species